GCCGAAUCACCGGUUAGUACUCAGUAAUUAGUAUUAGUACAGUCAGUUGGCUUAGUAUAGUCAGUAGGUACUUAGUGGUUACCAGACGGAACAAUAUUGUGAUGGCUGAUGGGCGCAUAUAUUAAGUCGUAAAUUAUGCCAAUAAAGAGCACAGCACAGGCUGAACAGGCAUGUUCAGUCCACACAGCGUUUAGAAGUACCUGUUUGAUGGUGAACACCUGACGGUGAAUAAUAUACACGUAUAUAUUUAUACAUAUAUAUAUAUUAUAUUAUACACGCGUCACACCCUCCCACAACACAACGCACGCACGCACACAAUAUGAUAUACUGUGAUAUUUUCAAAACCCGAAUUUUGAGUUUUCACCCAAGAUUGCAGAGGAAUUGAGUGAAAUCGCCCUGUAAACGACCAUUGGCGCAAGCAGGUAGCUGGUAUAGCAUCAUCAUCAUCCCUUCUCGCUUGACUGACCUUCUACACUCAAUACAAAGGCUAAACGCGCGCGCCCACGCUCUUACUGCGUUCGGGGUCAGUAUAAGAUCGUGUUUUGAACCGUAGAAACCGAUUAAUGCGGACGUCGAGAGACGAGUUGUUUAAUAUCUUGAAUUCGCCACCAUGCAGGAAAUCCUCGAGGUACAAUGAAAAGUGACUGUACAGAUGAAACUACCUGUAUAUUAUUAUUAUUAUUAUACUACAGUACCCCUACACUGUAUACAGUAAGAAUUCCAAGAACUGACCGACCGCUACACCGUUGUAUAUGCAUUGAAAAGAAACCAACACAAUACUGCUGCAGUAUAAAUGUUUAAUACACACAUGUGUUGUUACUUGUUGCAGCCCCACAUAAAUAAUAAAACCAAAUAUACCACCAAUAACGUCGUUGAU